rnacentral:piRNA from 1 species
UAUAGGAAUAUGUCUCAUCUGCUCGGUGU